rnacentral:rRNA from 1 species
UAGGGAAUCUUCCACAAUGGACGCAAGUCUGAUGGAGCAACGCCGCGUGAGUGAAGAAGGUUUUCGGACCGUAAAGCUCUGUUGUUGGUGAAGAAGGAUAGAGGUAGUAACUGGCCUUUAUUUGACGGUAAUCAACCAGAAAGUCACGGCUAACUACGUGCCAGCAGCCGCGGUAAUCGUAGGUGGCAAGCGUUGUCCGGAUUUAUUGGGCGUAAAGCGAGCGCAGGCGGAAGAAUAAGUCUGAUGUGAAAGCCCUCGGCUUAACCGAGGAAUUGCAUCGG